ensembl:lncRNA
UCUAACUCCCCUUGCCUUUUGUUUAUAGAACUAAGUUUGGGCUACAACUAGAGGUGAUUGGUAUCAAUCUUUACAUUUUAAAUCUUCUUUAUUUCAGGCUUCUUUAUUGUGAUCAGGAAUUUCCGGAUGCUUUGUUGUCAACUGCACGAAGUCAGAUAUACUCAAUAUUUUUAACUUGCAAAUGAGGAAACAGAGCAUCCCGCUAUUUCUUCUGCCGGCUGCCUUAACUGCAUGACUCUAGAACCUGGGGUAGAAUGCUGUCUUUAAACACAAACUAAUUACUUUAUCUUAUGGGCAACCAAAAAAGGUAAUCUGUAACAUUGCUGGGUUGGAAAAGAAAACU